GUAUUUUAAUUAAAUUUGUAAUUAAGACUGCUAACUAUAGAUAUCUCAUCAGGGAAAUAAUUUAAUUAACAAAAAUUCAAUAAAACAACACUGAGCCUAAACUCAGUUUAGUGAUAAUAAAGCAUACACACACACACACACACACAUAUAUAUAUAUGUGUGUGUGUGUAAAUUUAUAUAUAGAGAGAGGCUAUCCACUAUAUAUGUAGUGCUGGUAGUAAAGAACCCACCUGCCAAUGCAGCAGACAUAAGAGAAAUAGGUUCUAUCCCUGGGUCGGGAAGAUCCCUUGAAGGAGGGCAUGGCAACCCAUUCCAGUAUUUUGGCCUGGAGAAUCUCUUGGGCAGGGAAGCCUGAAAGAUACAGUCCAUAGGGUUUCAAAGAGUUGUACAUGACUAAAGUGACUUAGCACAGCAUA
rnacentral:lncRNA from 1 species